GGUACCGUGGCCAAGUGGUAAGGCAAGAGUCUGCAAAACUCUCAUUCCCCAGUUCAAAUCUGGGCGGUACCUCCA
rnacentral:tRNA from 3 species